rnacentral:misc_RNA from 1 species
GCCAGCAAUUUCGUGGACACCUAAAAAUAUUCCACCUACGACACAUCUAGCCAUAAGAAAUAAUAGUUCACGUGGCCAUUGAUGUGGUCGAGGGAGAGGUAAUUCUGCUAAGUUCAUUAACCAGUUGACCAUUGGAUACACCCAAUCCAAUUUAGCUAAUCAACUCCCAACCACCACAAUCUGCCAUAACUGUAGAUGCCAAAGGCAUAUUGCCAAACAAUGCCCGUCACCAAGGUUGAAUGCCAACAGCAUCAACGGAUAGCCAAAUUCCAACUUUGCCUCAACCAGUGCUUCUACCAUGCAGAAUUGGACAGUGGAUUCCAGUGCCAACUAUCACCUAACACCUCAAGAAGGAAACAUCCCUCACAAAUCCCUUUAUUAUGCAGUGAUGACAUAGUUAUUGGCAACGGUAAUACUCUUUCAAUUACUCAUAUUGGUAUUUCUCCAGUCUCUAUUAAUAAUAAUUCUUUUGUUCUUGAUAAUAUUUUGUGUUCCCCUUCCAUUCAACACAAUUUAUUUUUUGUGCAUUCAUUUACUAAACAGAAUAAUGUAUCUAUUGAAUUUUUCUCUGAUUUCUUUAUAGUGAAGGAUAUCCACAUGAAACAGGAUUUGUUCUGUGGCCUGAGUGAAGGUGGCCUCUACACCAUUUCUCUUCAAAUCCAUCAAUCGCCAACAGCACGAACUCAAACUAUUGAAUUAAGCACCUGGCAUGCCCGUCUUGGUCAUGUUAAGUUCUCUCUCACAAUAAUUUACCUUCCAUUAAAAAUAAAAAUUCUUUUGUUCCUUACAAUGCUUGUAGCACUAGCAAGUCCCAUAAGCUUCCUUUUUCUGAGUCUUGCAUUAAAGUUAGUCAACCUUUAGAAUUAGUUUGUUCCAAUGUUUGGAGACCUUCCUCAGUUCCAUGCAUGUGUUCAAGGAUUUCGUUAUUAUGUUUUGUUUUAUGACCAUUUUAGUAAGUAUUGCUAGCUUUAUUUUCUAAAGAAGAAAUAUGAUGUCUUGAGUGUUUUCAUUUGGUUCUACAAUUUAAUUGAAAAGUAUUAUUCAUUGCCAAUAAAAUGUUUCCAGGCUGAGUAGGGUGGUGAAUUUAAAGCAUUAACACCUAUUUAUGUGACAAUGGCAUUACCCAACGUAUUUUCUAUCUCCAUACACUUGAACAAAAUGGGUGCAUUGAGCACAAACAUAGACGCAUUGUAGAAAUUGGAAGAGCACUUUUACAUCAUGCCUAGUCCCACAUAAAUAUUGGACAAAUGCUUUUGAAACUGCACCAUACACCAUUAAUUGUAUUCCAUCCAUUCACACCUUAUGAGAUUAUCUUCAAUUCUACACCCAAUUAUGAUGAACUUCGCAUUUUUGGAUACCUUUUGUUACUCUUAGUUAAAACCAUAUGCCUCUACCAAAUUGGAUGCUUGAUCAAUCAAAUGUGUUUUCCCUGGCUAUAACAAAUUACACGAAGGUUAUAAUUGUUUGGAUUUAUCUACUAGAAAAAUUUAUGUCUUACGUCAUGUCGUUUUUCAUGAACAGGUGUUUCCUUUUCAAAGUGCUGAUGAUAAUUCAUAUCCUUCCAUUGAUCAAUUUCAACAUAGUCCGAAGCAACAGUCUUCUUCGUUCACUAUACCAGCGCCACUUUUACAUGAGCCCAUCCAACAAAAUCCUACUGACAACAUCCUAGGCCUACAAGGUCUCAAACUGAUCUUUUUAAACCAAAGACUUAUUUAACUAGCACUUCGACACAAGUUGUGCCCACUUGUUCCACUCAAGCUAUGGUAUUGAAAGAAUGGCGUAAGGCCAUGCACUAGGAAAUUAAUGUACUAAUCCAAAUGCAAACUUGGGAUUUGGUGCCAAGACAUGAAGUUGCAAAUAUAAUUGGCUGCAAAUGGGUGGUCAGGAUAAAAACAAAAGUCAGAUGGGUCUAUUGAAUGCUACAAAGCACGCCAUGGUGGAAAAGGCUUCCAUUAAUGCCCUGGUAUUGUUUUUAUGGAACCUUUUCACCAGUUGUUAAAUUAACAGCAAUCCAAAUUAUUUUAUAUCUGGUAAUUUCAUUUGGGUGGCCUAUCAAACAGUUAG